UACGGGGGGAGCUAGCGUUGUUCGGAUAUACUGGGCGUAAAGCGCACGUAGGCGGCGCCGUAAGUCAGGGGUGAAAUCCCGGAGCUCAACUCCGGAACUGCCCUUGAAACUGCAGUGCUAGAAUCCUGGAGAGGCGAGUGGAAUUCCGAGUGUAGAGGUGAAAUUCGUAGAUAUUCGGAAGAACACCAGUGGCGAAGGCGACUCGCUGGACAGGUAUUGACGCUGAGGUGCGAAAGCGUGGGGAGCAAACAGG
rnacentral:rRNA from 1 species